CUUACACAAACCUAGAUGGCAGAGCCUACUACACAGUUAGGCUGUAUGGUAUGGCCUAUUUCUCCUAGGCUACCAACCUGUACAGCAUGUUACUGGGCUGAAAUACUGUAGGCAACUAUACUACAAUGUUCAGAAAAUAGGCACAAUGAAUUAAAACGUCAAGGAUCCAACUUCAGGAGGCUAACUUCUGAUUUCUGCUGUGAAGAUAAUAGAAGCAGACCAAGUCAGCCAUCUGCAGAAAUCUCUUGAAUAGAAGAUGACCGGAAAACGUGUUUCUGAUGAAACCCAAGACUAAACUUAAAAGACAGCAGCUCCACCCAGCCAGAUAAGCAAGGUGAAUUCAUCUGGUCCAGCCCCUAAAUGCACAGACGGGAGAAAUGAGGCCCACCGAAGGUUGAAAACUCACCAAAGUUCCCACAGUAGGCGGCAACAGAUCUAAAGGACCAGAGGUUUGUUCUCUGGACUAGUGCCGGCCGGAGCACAAGAGGAGGAAGAGGAAGAGGAGAGAAUUGGAAAGCUAGGGAGGAGCGGAAGAAGAGGGAGGGGCCGGGAAAGGAAACGCCCAGCUGGCUGUGCCAGACUGUGCCCUCCUCCCCUCCUAAGCCACAACGUCUUUCCAUUCUUGGAAUUUCCUCCCUACCCCAUUUAAACCUUUAUUGAUCAGACCCUAAACCAAGUCAGGUUGCAGCUUUUACCGAGUGAAAGUGAGAACUGAAAGAAUUAUGUAAGCCUUUCUCCUGGCCUCUGGCCAAAGCUAGGGAUGCCUCCCACUGUUUCUGUGCGAGGUGGGAAGUUUUUGGCCCAUCCUUAACUAAGAAGCUCCUUCACAGGGGUACAUAUGUGAGCGUGCAAAGAAGGCCUUCAUGGGGGUUUAGGUGUGAGCAUACAUUUCUGGGCUUCAUGCAUUUCUAAUGCCUUCAAGGGGGUUCAGGUGUGAGUAUACAUUUCUACGCUGGCUCUGUUCCCCAGUUCCCUCAGACCUCUCAGCUCCUCUUUCCUAGGACAAUAAAAGAUAUUCUUUGGGGUUUUAUUUAUAUAUUCAUUUGCUGAGACAGAGUCUUACUCUGUCGCCCAGGCUGGUAUGCAGUGGUGCAAUUUUGGCUCACUGCAACCUCUACCUCCUGGGUUCAAGCGAUUCUCCUGCUUCACCCUACUGAGCACGUGGGAUUACAGGCAUGCAUGGCCACGCUAGUCUAAUUUUUUCUAUUUUUAGUAGAGACCAGGUUUCGCCAUGUUGUCCAGGCUGGUCUUGAACUCCUAAGCUCAGGCAAUCAGACCGCCUCGGCCUCCCAAAGUGCUAGGAUUAUAGGCAUGAGCCACUCCACCCAUCUGCUUUGGGCUUUUAAGGAGGCCAUCCUAGGCACUUGCUGUGUAUAACAAGUGGAAGCAUUUUACUUACACAAACUCAUUUAGUCCUCAAGAUGUUGGUACUCUUUCUAAAUUACAGAUAAAAAAACUGAGAUUUAGAAAGAUCUUCUAGCUGCCCAUCACUUUAUUAGAGCUAGUACACAUGCAGACAGUACAUAUACAGAAAAAAAUAAAAAAGACCAACCUACCAACCAACCAAUCAGCUCUAGGCCUAUGGUUUGUAGUAAUAAGAUUUGGCCUUUAGAACUGCAUUCAGUCCCAAGUCUCCCUGUUCCUAGAAGUUUUGUGGUCUUAGACCUUUCUGAGCCUGGGCUUCCAUAUUAUAAAAAUAUGAA